AACUGGGGCUAGCAUGAUUUUUUUUGUCUUUCCUUUUUUUUGAGGAACGACAGGCAGAAAGUGACACGUCACAGCGGUCAACUGCACAUGUGGUCUAGGUCUUUGCCUGGCAGCCAUUCCAUGACCUCAUUGCUGAUCAAUGACUGUUUGUUCAAAGUAUUGGACUCUGUUCUGGCUGCACGUCACUUUGUUCCUAGGUGGUGAGGAAUAGAAGGGAUGGUUGGCGUUUACCUGAGAUGUACAUCAGGUCCCCGUGGACGGUCCCAGCGUGUCCGUAGUGAGCCUCCAUCAUGUUGCUCACAAACGUCCACUGGUUCUUCUUCAGAUUGUAGCACUCCACCGUGUCUGGCAUGGAAACACACCGUCAUCUAAAAUCCUCCUGAGCAGAGCGGACCCCAGACUUCCCUCCAGCCUGACGCUCUUGAACUCGUCGCCCGAGCACAAAAUGUUGUGUGCGAGAGUUUGGACAGCUGGAUGAGGUUCCUGUUGAUUUCGGCCACGUUCCUGCAACCUGCACGAUAAAAGGCCGUGACAGUCAGGCGGACGCAGGGUUGAAGAGGCGCUAAGAAGGCGCACCUGAUAAAGCCAUGGAGAGGCGGAACUCGUCGUUGAGGAUUUGCAGCACCUCGCGCACGCCCUCCUCGCCCUGGAACACAUGAUGUGCUGGAAUGAAGCAAGUCUCUAAUGGAGCCGCUGGCUUCCACGGCCCAGAGAGCAGGCGAUGUCUUCCAGAUGGAUGACAUGAUGGACUUCUUUGAGUCUGGCUUCACAUUCUACCAGGAACAUGAUGGACUUGUUUGAGUCUGGCUUCACAUUCUACCAGGAACAAUCCCUUCUGCGCCUCACUUGAUUAGCGCCGAGUCGGCACAAUCUAUUUGGGUGUCAGAGUCUUGCAUCUGGCUUCUUUUAGGACCUGAUCAGCAUCGGCCAUCUUCCAUUAGCCUCGCCCGCUAGCGUCCGCUCACCCGGAAAAAAAGCGCGGUCCCGUCGGCGGGGCUCAUUAGGGAUUCGAACUCGCGUCAGUGCGGUUAUGGACAGUUUGCUUCAUUCGGGAGCCCUGAUUGGUCGUCCUCCAGAUGAGCAGCUGCUACACAUGUCAGCCUGGAUGAACAUCUGGACCGACGCUGACGCUAGGUUAGCCAGCUAGCUGCAGCUAGCUAGCCAGCGCCGGUCAAUUAGCUUCAAUCUCUGCCAAGGACGUUAACCUUUUAAGAGUUGAAGGAUAAUAAAUCAGUGUGUUAUUCACUUUUCAAAAUAAAACUAAAGCUAAAAAUGCCACAUAAAUCAAUGUUUUCUUUUUUUUCCAGACCCGAAACAAAACAAAAAAGUAAAACAAAACGUUUUUCCAAUUUCCGAUGUUGUGCAUUGCAUUUAUUUUGUAGUUAUUCUUGUGUUGCAAAUUUUGAUUGUUUUGUUAUUUUUGUACGACCGGCUUAAAUUUUCUUUUGACUUUUUGGGGUUAUUAGUUUACGACAUGCGUUUAUUUUGUAGUAUUUUUGUUUGGCAUGAUUACCAUUUUUAAUUUUGGAUUUAGAUAGUUAUAUAUUUUUUUGUUAUUUUUAAUAACAUGUCUGAUGUUUUUUGUAAUUUUUUAAAAACGAAAUAAUUAGAUUUAUUUUGGUUAUUUUUGUAUGACAUGAUAAACUUUUUUUUUUAUUACAUAAUUAGAUUUUUUUAGUUAUUUUUAUGACAU